AUACGGAGGAUGCAAGCGUUAUCCGGAUUUAUUGGGUUUAAAGGGUGCGUAGGCGGUUUGCUAAGCGGGAGGUGAAAUGCCGGCGCUCAACGUCGGAAGUGCCUCCCGAACUGGUGGACUGGAAUGACUCUGCCGUGGGAGGAAUGUGUAGUGUAGCGGUGAAAAGCUUAGAGAUUACACAGAACACCGAUUGCGAAGGCAUCUCACGAAGUGUUGAUUGACGCUGAGGCACGAAAGCGUGGGGAUCAAACAGGAUUAGAUACCCUGGUAGUCCACACUGUAAACGAUGAUAACUCGCUGUCGGCGAUAUACAGUCGGUGGCCAAGCGAAAGCGAUAAGUUAUCCACCUGGGGAGUACGACCGCAAGGUUGAAACUCAAAGGAAUUGACGGGG
rnacentral:rRNA from 1 species